rnacentral:tRNA from 1 species
GCCCACGUAGCUCAGUCGGCAGAGCAACGCCUUGGUAAGGCGUAGGUCACCGGUUCAAGUCCGGUCGUGGGCUCCA